AGCCUACCUCUGCAGGCAGGAAGCUCCUGGCCCAGCCCCGGGAGGCCCAGCCUCUGGGGACGCUGGGCUGGUCAUUCAAGUGACCACGUGGCCCCACAGGGGGUGGGGCAAACUGCUACAGGAGGGCUCUGUCAUGGCAAGGCCUCACCUGCCCAGUGUGGCCCACCUGAGGAGGACCGGGAGGGGAGGAACCAGACCUGUCCCCUCCCUGCUGACACUCUAUCCCUCAGGCUGUUUGCUCAGUGGCAGCUGGCUCCCAGGAACCAGCAGGCCUACAGAACCCAGCAUGAGAUGAAACCUUAGGCCUUCACCCGGCUACUGAUGUGACGACUGAGUAGACGGCAGGAAGCACUGUGGUUCAAUAUCAGAGGGCUUCCAGGAUGGCUGGGGCCUGGCGCUGGGCAGGCUGAAGGCCUGGACCCUGCACUGAGACCAAGGAGAGAGCACCAGACCGGGAACCCUGCCUUAGCCUGAGCUGGCUCACACACCCAGUGGGCCUGUGACUCUUGGGAAGACCCUUAAGUCUCAGCUACCCCUUGCUCUGAUGGUGGCCACUUCUGUCCCAGGCUGCAGUGUUCCUGUCAGCUGACAUCUCUAGGAAGCUCCGCAGGUACUUUGGUGGCAUCUCUCUCCCUCUCAGCACUGGGCCUUGCAUAUAAACUGGGUCUCUGAGAAGGGGUGAUGGGCCCCCUCCCACCCCUGCUCAUCUUCCUUCUCCUGCCUGGGUCACCUUCUCUGGCCUCCUGACAUAGACACUUCCAGAGGCAGCCUGAGCCACUCCAGCAGCCCCUUUGUUCCUCCGGGCCUCUGUAUUCCCAUCUGUAAGAUGGGUUUAGUCCAAAGGCCAAGCAGGGCAGGAACUGGAUGAAUGUCAGCCCAGGCUCUGUUCCCACCAACAUGUGCCUCCCUCUUGUUUUUCCAUCUGCGGGGACCCAGGCAUCAGGCCAGGCAGUCAUCCUGCAGUCCUGGUGUGCACCCAUUCCUGGGCUCCUGUGUCCCCACCUGCAAGACAGGGCAGCCAUGCCUGCCUCUCAGGGAUAUAGGGAGGACACAGUAUGGUACAAACACCUCCACUUGUGACCUACGUUGCUCAGCACAAGUCCUUCCUGGUCCUGGGUCAUUGUAAUCCUCCUGGCCAGGGCUCUACCCCACUGUCCUGUAGCUGAUGCUGGCCUGGGGUCUGGAGCCAGGGACCAUACCUGAUCGUAUGUGCCCGGGACCCACUCCAUCCUCCACAGCCUGGUGGGCCUGCCUCAGCUCACUGCCCGAGGAGAGUGUGGUCCUGUCCGGGUGCUACCCCCUUCUCCAGCCAAGGGUGGUGACACCUGACAAUGUAGAGGAUGGCAUUCUGAUGAAGUAUUGGGGCUGUGGGGGAGUGAUGGGGCACUUCUGGGUUUGGCAUGCGGACCCUGCCAUGGCAGGGGCUGGGAGAGCCCUCCUUAGCCCGGCCUGGGAGUCAGAGUGGGCUUGUAACACACAGUCAUUCCAGUGGUCCAGCGUUCAGCACAAGACCACACGCUGCUGAGGUCAGGCAUGAGGGCACUGAGGCAUGAGGGCCCAGAUGACCAGCUCUCACAUAGAGGCCAGGGGCAUGGUCCAUAGCAUUCAACAGAAGAGGGCAAACUCAGCCUUAUUCUCCAAGGAGAGGGCUGACCAAGCCUGUGACAGGACAGACCUAUCUGCCCACAUCUGGGCAGUGGGAUCGCUGACCAUUGUUUGUGUAAUCAGAAGACCAGAUUCCUGCUAUUCCAGCAAGCCCAGGUGCCCAGAAAAGCCAGGAUGCCCCAGGGCCACCCCAUACUCCUGGACCUUGUCACUCCUGUCUCAGCCCUGCCUUUUGUCCUAAUGCCCAUAGCUCCUGGGCUGGCUUUUGCACCUGUCCGCACUUAACCAUCUUGUCUCUUCACACAGGGGUCAACUGUGCCUUCAUCUCUGGUGCCCAGUCUUCCCCCAGGUUCUGCACCUCAGGCUAAGGAGUACCACCCAGCCCAGGUGACAUGCCUUAGGCUGCAGAGGGGCUGUGGCACCCGACAUCCUGCUUUUCUCACUGGGUCCCAUGGCUCCCACAUAGGGCCCUUCCUAGCUGGUGCCCCAACAAGUGGACAGUGGCACUUGCCUUUGAGUUUCUUGUUUUGGGCCAUGCAAUGGCUCCGAGCUAAGGAACACCCACCCAUUCCUAGAGCACAGCAGGGUGGUGACAGAGGCCACAUGCUCUGGUGCUCAGGUCAAGGACUCAUAAGCAGGAUGGAGCUCAGGGAGAGGCAGUGGAGGAGCUGGGGCCUCAUUCUGCCCACAGCCCUGCAGGCAAAGAUGACAUAUUGCCUUCCAUCCCAGGGACCAGGAAGCCAGCCAUCUCUCCCCAUCUCCUGCCACUUGGUCUAGUCCUGUCCCUAGCACACCUGCCCACAAACAUGUAGGCAGUACUGCUUCCUGGUGGCCAGAAUGCCACUCCUCCCUGGGGAGGAAGCAGCCCUCUGGCAGACCUGGUGCCUCAGUUUCCCCAUGUAACCUAAAUCCUACAUAUGGCUGUGCAGGUCAGGGCAUUCAGAAUGAAGACAUAGGCUCUUCUUAGGUGCCUGCUGGCUACUUCAAAGUGCGUCUCUGUCUAGAGUCCUCUUGUCAGACCAGCAGUGUCCCUGGACUGAGCUCCAGCUGCCCAAUUGGCCUGGUGGCUGCAUUCGGGUGAGGUGUGAGCAGCCUCAGCUUCUGGCCCCUGGACUGUCUUACUGCCGGUGCCCAGCAGCCCCAGGACCCAGGGGGGCCAGCCUGGGAACACAGGGACACCCCUUCCCGCAUUGUGGGUCUGCGUUCACCCUGCUGCCAACCCCAACUCCUGAAGAACCUGCCAGGACCUGUCCAUGCCUGCUUUUUCCCACACUAGCUGCCAGCUUUGGGUGUAUCCCUGCCAAGACUUUCGGUGGUACUGGAGCUGGUGGGGAGCAAGGAAUCUGGGUUUGAUAGGAUGGGGAGAGAGUGGGUUUUUUCUCCAGAACACCCACCCCACUGGGCCCCAGUCUGGAAACCAUGUCCCUCCCAUGUGAGUCCCCAUGUGCAUAGCUCACCUCCCUAGUGGCUCUGGGCCGCCGGCAGAGCCCCUGAUAGACUUGCAGCUUGGCUUUCCAGACAGGGGACACCUUUGCAGCCUCCAGCCCUCUGCAGUUCUCCUCAGCAGCUGGGCCGCAGGGUCCCUGUACACCCUUGCUCUGCCCAGAAACUCCACCCAGCCCUGCCUAGCCAGCCCGACCUGCCCAAGCAGCCUCUGCUGGGCCACACCCUUGGCCACCCAGACCAGGUUCUGCGACCAGCCUUCAGUUACUGCCACAGCCACCUGUCAUGCCCUCCUGCCUGCAGACCUGGGUCUAGAAACUGACAUCAAAGUGCUCUUCUGGUGGCCAUGUACCAAGUAUGAGCAGAUACUGCCAUCAGGGUCACACCCUGGCCCUGGGUGUGCAGUGGUGUGGUGAUGCCUAUGUCCCACAUGAGCUGAGCGUCUGGGUGACCGGACCAUCUUCCACCAACCCUUCCUUCGGUCUACAACUCUCCAUUCUCCCUUCCUUAGUCCUGGUAUCCCCAAACAGCUCUAGGGAGGCCGAGAACAAGCAUUGUUACCAAACUGGUCACAGUUAGACAGGGUUCACACGACCACUGGAACAUGUAAUCUGUGUUUGGGCCUUUUGUGGGCUGACUCUCGGUCCUCCUGGCCCCGGGGAGGGGGACAUGCGACGGUGGGGCUCAGGGAGGUCGCUGCUAGUUUCAUGUGAGAAAGCUUCAACAUUCCUUGUCCUUACGUGGUGUGGGCUGAAGGCCGACAGAUGGUAGGGCAGGUGCUUGAGGCCUGGCAGUGGGGCCUUCUGCAUAACCUGGUUCUCUUUCUGGAGAUGUGUCUUCCUCCUCCUCUCUUCCUGUUUCUCCCAGUGCCUCCCCCCUAGUCCCACCUUGUGCUUCUUUCCAGGCCCUAGCAUGGGGAAGGCAGUCUGUCGUCAGCCCCCCAGGCCUUUUUGUCUGUGUGGUACGGGCCUCAUGUGAGACGCUGAGCUUGCAUGGGAAUGUUCCAACAUGUUCUUGUGCACAUUGCUGACCAUGUCCACUUCUGGGCCCCCAAACGCUGUCCUCAGCAAACAUGGGCUUAUUUCUGAAACAUCCAUAUUGUCCUCGGGGCUUAAGGGGUCUUGGACCUCAAUCUUUCUUCAGGAACCUUCACUUACAGCCAGGGCACCUUUCACCCACACAGGCAGGGCCUGCUGUUUUUCUUGCUGUGAUGCCAAAUGAUAAGCUCCAGUGGCAGUGCCUCCCUUCAGUGCCAGGCAUACUCUGCAGGCCUGCCUUUACUCCACCCGCUGAACCUUCUCCCUGUUUCCAGUUUCCCUUCCAGAAGCUAAACCGAGCAGUCUGUGCCAGCUCACUCCUCCCUGUGUGAUCUCAUCCUGUGGGCUACCGUAACUGGUGUGUGUGAGGGGCAGGUUGUUGAGUUUCAGGAUAUGGUAGCUGCCUGACCCCAAGAACAGCUGAGUUUCUGGAACUUUCUAUCUUCAAGGUGCACUUGAGCCCUGGCAAAGAGUAGGAAUGAUGGAGGGAUUUGGGAGGUCCCAAGUAGCUCAGCAGAGACCUGGGAAAACCAUGGGAGGGAAGGUGGUGGUCCAAGGCAGAGCCUUGUAGACAGACCCUUCCUGCACGUCUGCGGGAAGGAAAUUGUAGCUGGACAGCUGGGUAAGCAUCACACAUGGCCUCAUUAGCUACAGAUCUUAAAUGCUGGCAGCUGGGAGUGAACUGUUCCUGUGGGAAGCAAGAACAGUGACUCUUUAGGGAGCCAGCCUGAGUCGGAUGGGACGUGGGGAUGCGCAGGGGCCCUGGCUGAGCUCCUGAAGGCAGGGACUAUUGAUGUGCUUUUUUCUGUGGCAGUGGGGGUCAAGCUCAGGACCUGGAGCGUGCCUCUGUGAUAUAGCUCGAGCCCGUCAACACUAGCAGAUCACUGUGGCAGCUCCAAGGAGUGUAAUUUAGAGGCCCAGGGAAUGAGGUUCAGCUCUGGGUCAGUUUGGUACCUUCGGGCCAGGCCGUCUUGGGGCCACACAAAUAAUAGGGGUGGAGGAGCUGCCUUCUUGCCGUCACCACUACUUACUGCCCUGACCAGCACUUACACCCUGGCGUCACUGAGCGUCUCCCUCAUUUCUCAACUGUCUCCACUACCUGCCUCUUAAGUAAGGGGUGGGGGGUGGGGUCAUGGGACACAAUUAGAGGCAGGGAACUGUCAGGGCUGGCGCUUAGGAAGCCCGGAAACGAAGCGCUUGAACCAGAACCAGACAGAAACCUGAAGGAAAGACUGACCUUGGUAGCUGGAUUAUUCCUUUGAUGUAAUUAAAAGGACACAGGGACAGAGAAUGACAGAGGGGCCGAAUGACAAGAACAUUAGGCCCCAGGCCCCCAGUUCUUACUAUCCAGUUAGCUUUGUGGCCUCCCCUCGUGUUUCACUUUCCUUGUCUGCAAAAGCAGAUGGUGAGUGGUGGGGUUUUGAACAGAAACAGGCACAUGAACUAAUUCGAUUUCAUUUGUGGACAAGAUUGGGAAACUGAAGUCAUAGACUUGACUUCAGACCUAGAGCAGACCCAGGGUGAGCUUCUCUGGAUCCGUUCCAUGGGGAGAGCUGCAGAUCCUUGGACAGAACCAGGUAUGAGUUUUAGGGGACAAAUAUGGAUGAUUAAAGGCUGACAGUGAAUGAAAAAGUUUGCCCCAAAGCCUGCUCCGUAGUGCUAACCUAAUGAUGCCAAGUUUUCACUUCCGGUCGAGUUCUCCAGAGCUGGUGCCCACCCCACUCCAGCCCAGCCUAGUGGGCCCAAGCACUUUCCCCACCUUGGCAGCUUGUGGUCCUACUGUGCUUCCUUCUUGAGUUCAUUCAUCUGUGGUAAGAUUUGUGGGGUCAGGUCUCCACGGAGCUGACACUGACUGGGAUAAAAUCACUAUGAGGCUCUAUAGGAGACACCUGUGUGCAGGAAGGGGCGGCAGGCAUCCGACAGACCUUGGGGCCUGCAAGCUUAGCUGGGCUCCAGACGGGACACUGGGUGAAGCUGUCUGGACAUGAUGAAGGCUAGAUAUGCUGUCUGGAGUCCUUGGUCCAAGUUGGCCACUACAAUGGGUCCCAACUGCCAGGGAUGGAUCAGGGAGCUCCUGAGGGCAGGGUGGCAGGACAUAGGUGCUCAGGUACUCCUGUUGCAGGAAGGAGCAUUGGGACAGUCAUCUUCUGUCCACCUUCAGCAGACCUACUUUCUCAGUUCACUAUCUGCCUGGCCUACAAAGGGGUUCCUAAGAGAAAGAAAAAUUACAAGUCUGCAGGAGCCACCAGUUCAAAGAUAAACCAAAUACAAACAUUUCUUAAUAAUUUCAUGAAUACCCAGGGGUUACUUGAGGCUUUUGUGCAUCCUCAAUUCCAGGAAGGGCACCAUGUGCUUCUCUGUGACCCAAUCUCACACCCCCCCAACUGUCUCUGCCUUCUCACCGGAGACCAUCAGAGCCUCAGGUGGGACAAAGAUUUCACUAACUGGAGAGGGACUGGUGAUACUGGCCUUGCUGUAAGACAGAGAGCCCAGGUCCAGGCUGCUACUCACAGGCCAACUCUGGGGUUUAAAGGUCAUUCUACAUCUAACCCCUGAUUCCAGCCUUUAGCAAUCUCUGCAGAUAUCCUAGGAUUAUUUCUAAAGGGUCGACCUAAUUCUACUUAAAACCCUCCAAGUUCCUCACUGAGCUCAGGAUCAUUCUAGGGCUACCUGUCCCCCACAGUGAUCUUCUUGUCCAGCCUUAGCACCCACCUGCAGUGCCACCCCUGCUGUCCUCAUCAUACCCUUGACCUCUGUACACAUGGUUGCAUCCCUGGACUUCACACACACACACAGUGGCUUCAGGCACUAUGCCUUGACCUCUGUACACAUGGUUGCAUCCCUGGACUUCACACACACACACACCCACACACAGUGGCUUCAGGCACUCAGUAUGACCCUACACAACACCAGCAGGAUGGAAGCCAACAAUGAAGACCCAUUGGAGAGGAGCAGGGCGACAAGCAAGCACAGAGGUACUCCCAGGACUCACCCUCACCCAUCAACCACCAAUGGCAUUUUGGUCAUGAUUAAGUAUCACGGGAAACCCACUUUUAUUAAAAAAAAAAAAAAAAAAAAAACUUCUACAAGUGACACUGCCCACCGAGGGCCACGAGUCAUGCCAGCUGACUCACGUUGCUCAUUCCCAAGUAGAUGCAAGGAUCAGAGCCCAGGGAGAACCAUUCCCAAAUGUCUCUACUGCUUUUGCCACCCACUGUGAUAUAGUCACAAACAGUGAAGAUCUGCCUGAAGACAGGAAUGCUUUUUGUGGCCAAAGUCAGAGAAAGCUCUUUCUUUUGACUGUGCCAAAGGACGGGUCUAUGGGACCCUGCAAAGGGACAGAGUGUCCAGCUGGUCUCGCUGAGUGGUGUGUGCUGCUAACUCCAGGUCACCACACCUGGCACACCCGGAUCAGCUCCUUUAAGGCCUUCAGCCCCUCCAUGCUCUUGUCCUUCACCGCCAUGGCGAGCAGGACUGCUCUGUUUCCAGCUUCUUGAGACACAAACGCUACCAAGUUCUUUGCAAAGACAUGGAUGAGAGGCUGAUGAAAGGGAGGAAAUCACAGUGACUGCAGGAAUCCUGGACUUUUUCCCUGAUGCUUUCAUUAAGUGACUCUGGCUUCCCACACUACCAUUAAGCCCAGUGUAGCUAUGACUCAGAGCUCCACGAGGCACUUGAACUCCAGGUAUAAACAAACCACUACAGAGGCAUCAUUAAGCUUAUUUCCUUGGUGCCUUCCUCAACUCUCUUCCCACCUAUUUCUAAUCUGGAAGGACUCAUGAAAGACAAGCCUGCGGAGCGAGACGCUGUCAAGUCUCAUGGAGCACGUGCAGCCACUCAUUAAUAUAAUGUAUCAGGACAGGGUCAAACUGAGGAGGCAGCCCGCAUUACAAAAUCAAUACCUCCACUUAUCUGCUGGAUAAAGCGCUGACGGGCUGUGAAAGGCAUUGCCAAGGGCAGGAAGAUGCCCUCAAACCCACACAGGUCCCCGAGAAGGCUGUCACUGUUGCUGUGUGUGUGUGUGUGUGGUGCCGCAUACCAGAUGC